rnacentral:antisense_RNA from 1 species
UGUUAUGGCGGCUGUGCGUGGGAGUCCGAAAGGUCUGCCGGUGCCCUUGGAUACCGGUCCGCUAACCUGCGUACAGCUGCCACCCUU